rnacentral:misc_RNA from 1 species
GAAUUUUCCCCAAUAAUUCUCCAAAUUAACCAUCAUCAUAAAUUCAUAAUCUAUCAUUUUUGCUCUCAAAUCUCAAAUUUUCACUAUUUGAAUUUUUCUCAGUGGAAGCAGUUUGAAACUCCCAGAAGUUCAACACCAAACUCAAAAACAAAACAACAAAAAAAGUAGAAAAAAGAAACAAAGAGUGUAAUCCAAGAAGACCCCUUUUUGUUCUUCACAAUUACAGGACCUAUGGUUAGUUGAACUCCACUUCAAGUUUAGAUCUUGUUGUGUGAAAGUAGUUUGUAAUGAUGUCAAGACCAAUGCUGCUUGUUUUUCUGUUGAUUGUACUCAUAAUCACAUCUCAAUUUGAAUGGAAGCAGCAGCUGGUGAGUGAUGUCGAACCGAGUCCUAGUAUAUCUCAGAAGCAGCAGCAGAUCUCAAAGAGAGAAGAAGCUGUUAAAGAGAAGAUUAUAUUAUCACAGGAGAAGAACAUCCAAAGGCUUAACGAGCUCGUGCGGAACCUCAGGGAACAAUUGCUUCAGUGCAGAAGUAGCAAUGAAACAAUAAGCAACAGUCUUAGCUCACUUGCUGACAUUGCUGAAUUUGAAAAACAGCAAAUUCUUGAGGAUUAGUCAGUUGACAUCAUAUUACUAAAUUCUCUGUACUAUCUGUAACUAUUUUCUGCUUAUUUUGUGUGUGUUUUUGUUGUAACUCUGCAAUUUAAGUGUCAUAAAUCAUAACACUAAUUCAUAUUGCAAUA